UUCCAGGGAAGAAUGAUGAUAACAUCACUGUCAUCACUGCUGCAUGAGAAUAAGGAGUUCUACAGUCCAGAUAGGUUUGACCCUGGACACUUUCUACAUGGGAAUGGAAACUUUAAGAACAGUGACUACUUCUUUUUUUUUUCAGCAGGUAAUUAAAACUCACUUUCUGGUGCCUGAAUUAUAGUUUCAGUUGUGAUAAAACAUGAUGACCAAAAGCAAUUUGGAGAGCAAUGUGUUUAGUUCAUCUGUCACCUUGAUCAAUAACAUCAAAAAUCUAUUAAAAAUUUCAAGACAACCACCUAGAGUCUGGAAUUGAUGCAGAAGUCAUGAAGGUGUGCUGUUAACAAAUUUCCAACAGCCUGCUUUCUAAUAAAAUCCAGAACCAAGAGCCAAGUGGUGGCACUACCUACAGUGACCUGGGUCCUGCCCAACUAAUCAUCAAUCACAAAAGCAAUAUUACAAAGACACCAAAGAAGUCCUUACUAACUUCUUCUGGAAAUUAAACGUCAUUUAUUUCAUAGAAAGGCAUUUAAGCCCAAGAAUAAAGUCAGAGGUGUACACUAUCAAAAGGCAAGUCCAUGUAAAAACUGUUGCUUUGAAUUUUCAAUUAGUAUAUUAUAAUGAAACACUGCAUUGAAGUUAAUAUUAACAUCAUUGCCUUCUGUAACUUCAAAUUCAUGUAACAUUUAUCUCUGAGCUAAUUUUCUAGAGCAUAUUUUGUCUAAGAAGGUAUAAAAAGACGAGAAAAAUAGAAAUAAAGUCACUGCUGUUGGUUGAA